rnacentral:lncRNA from 1 species
GCCAAGUUAACUGCCAAGUUACUGAAACGAAGUCCUGACCAUAAUCUAAACAUUCAAUCAAUACUAUUCUUGCUGAAGAAAACAAAAGAUCCAGGCAAACUUUCAGAGUCCAUUCUCCCAAGAGCCAAAGGUGACAAAGCUCCAGUGAUGUGGGUGAUCAUCCUUGUUCCUAACACUUCUUUGUCUUCAAGAGCCCACCUUCUCUCAACCUCCUGGUGCCUCAAUUUCUUCAUCUGCAAGGAAAAAUGACCCUCAAGGAGGAAUUAAGAAGUGAAAGAGACAGCUUGGAAUGAAGAACAAGGCCGGUAAACCAUGCCAACCACUUCGCCUGGGGUUCAACUGAAAGAGUGAUGGUCUCUUCCAUGGCAGGACGAGGAAAACUCAAUGGGAUUGGGCUUUUUUGAGAGCCUGUACACAAAGCAGUGUAUUCUGUACUUUCUGUGGAAUUUAAGGGAAUUUUUCAGGGGCUACUUUUAACUAUAUGACUGAUUUUCCAUCUUAUUACCUCCAAUUUAUAAUAUAAGAAGCUAUCCUUA